CUUAUGGUUUUACAUUAGAAAGAAACUGUUCCCAUCCGUGAUUUCAGUUCAGCCUGGUGUUCAAUCUUUAGUUAGUCAGGACUGGGGUAAACGUUGCUAGUUAUUUCCUAACCUGAAGCACAUUUGGAAUCCAGAAGAGAUGGUGGUGAGCCACCUUCCCCAGGUCAGUUUCCGGGGAGGAAAGUGAGGCUCUGGGAGGGAGGGGUGACUCACCGGGCCUUCUCAGCAUCAGGGAACACAGACCCAAUAGGCACACGGGAGGAGGGGCAUGCCAGAACCUUCAGCUUUCAGGGAUUUAAAAGAAAAUAUUGUCAUUUUUCUCUCCUUUUGGGCCAGAACAUUGGACCUUUCCAUUUCCUGUGACUGGUUUUGCCAGAUGCAGCAAUCGCAUGCCCUAGAGUAGAAACCGAAAUGAUACCCAGGACAGGAGCUUAGUUUCUGCUCUGCUACUUGUUAACUUUGUGAUUUUAAGCCAACGAUUUCCUUUUCUGGACCUGCAUUUCUUUACCAAAAAUAUGAAGGUAUUGCCACUGAUCACUAGUCUCCAAACUUUUCUUUCCAGCUAUAAGAUCUAUUUUUCAAGUGAAAUGUCACUGGAACUGCAAUAUAUGGGACAAGCGCAAGCAAGCAGAUUUCCUGGGAUGGGCCAGUGUAUCCAGUGCCCUGUAGAGCAGCCUGUUUCGGGCUUGGUAGUGGAAGGAAGCAUCGAGGCUCCCACGUCAUGCCUACAUUCAGGAUCUAUGUUCAGCUCUGCCUCCAGCAGCAGGUUACUCUUUUCAUGAAGAGGAGGAGGACAAAGCGUAUACUUCAGCCCAGCCACAACGUCAGCACAAAGCUCAAGGCCAGCUGUGGGCUCUUGGAAUAAUUGAGUGAGGC
rnacentral:lncRNA from 1 species